rnacentral:rRNA from 1 species
UACGUAGGGGGCGAGCAUUGUCCGGAUUUAUUGGGCGUAAAGAGCGUGUAGGCGGCCAGGUAGGUCUGCUGUGAAAACUCGAGGCUCAACCUCGAGACGUCGGCGGAAACCAUCUGGCUAGAGUCCGGAAGAGGAGAGUGGAAUUCCUGGUGUAGCGGUGAAAUGCGCAGAUAUCAGGAAGAACACCUAUGGCGAAAGCAGCUCUCUGGGACGGUACUGACGCUGAGACGCGAAAGCGUGGGGAGCGAACAGG